rnacentral:rRNA from 1 species
GACGAACGCUGGCGGCGUGCUUAACACAUGCAAGUCGAACGGAAAGGCCCUGCUUGCAGGGUACUCGAGUGGCGAACGGGUGAGUAACACGUGGGUGAUCUGCCCUGCACUUCGGGAUAAGCCUGGGAAACUGGGUCUAAUACCGGAUAGGAGCCAUUUUUAGUGUGAUGGUUGGAAAGUUUUUUCGGUGUAGGAUGAGCUCGCGGCCUAUCAGCUUGUUGGUGGGGUAAUGGCCUACCAAGGCGGCGACGGGUAGCCGGCCUGAGAGGGUGGACGGCCACAUUGGGACUGAGAUACGGCCCGGACUCCUACGGGAGGCAGCAGUGGGGAAUAUUGCACAAUGGGCGCAAGCCUGAUGCAGCGACGCCGCGUGGGGGAUGACGGCCUUCGGGUUGUAAACUCCUUUCGCUAGGGACGAAGCUUUUUGUGACGGUACCUAGAUAAGAAGCACCGGCUAACUACGUG